AUGGAACAGUAACGCAGGGGGGAGAGUGAGGAUCUGAGGAAGUUUAUGCACGCCAAAAUUAGGGUUGCAAUUCAAGUGAAUGGGCAGAUCGAUCUGGGGUAAAUAAGGGUGGUGACAGAAGAGAGUGAGCACACAUGGUACUCUUUCUUGCAUGUCCCAAUUCAUGCUCGAAGCUCUGUGUGCUCACUCUCUGUCUGUCACCCCCUUCUCUCUCUCCCUCCCUCCGACCCUCUCUCUCUCUCUCUCUCUCUGUGUUUUUGCUCUUCUGUUGUUUGUGCAUGUGUGAAUUUGUGAUGCAUUUUCUCUGCCUGUUGUGUGUUUAAUCUGCCCAGAAAAACUUGCAUCUUUUGCGUUUGCUAUGUUGUUUUAAGGUUUUAAAGUACAGCCUCAGCGAACAUAUGUUUUCUUUCUUGGGUUUUUACCAGAUCUUCUAUGUUUGUCCUUUUAUACACCGCUGAUAAUUUGCCCCGGCGAAAUGGAAGAAGCUAGCGUUGAAUUGAAUUUAAAAACAAAAUUUUUGCCCUUAUUUUUUUUCCUUGUGUAACUGACUCAUAGAUCCUGCUCUUGUACUUUUUUUGGGUACUUAAAAUACAAAAGGUCUGUACUUUCUCCAUCCAAAAAUUACAGUGUCCAAGAAUUCUGUUUUCCCCAAAUAAUUUAUUAGUGAUUAGCGAGAUCUUUUUUGUUUCUUGUUUUUUUGGUUCUGUGUUGUUGAGCUUUAGCAGAUCUAACCUUCCUGUUUCAGAAAAACGAUCUUCAAGGUUGUAGACUCCCUAGAAGAAUCAGAUCUAUCAGUUUCUUCUAUUUCUCCUUUCAAUCAUAUUCAUUUCACCUUCUUCUUUACAUUGUUUUAUGUGUUGGAGUUUUUCCUUUUUUUUUUCUUUUUUGGGGUUUGCAGGGUGAUGCAUUUUGAGAUGGGUUCUUUACUGGAGGGCAAUUUCCAUCGAUCCUGAGGUAUAUACUUUUGCAACCCAGAUGGACCAAUUGUGACCAAAGUACUCUCGUGAGUUAGAACUCUCAGUCUGGAAAAAACUAGGCCAAGCUCGAGUACUCUAAGAUCAGUGGCAAAGUAGCAAGCAAAAAGAUCAUAUCCAGAAUCUUGUGACAACAUAAGAAGUGUAGAUUCAUGUACUUGCAAUUUGAAAGUGCUCUCUUGCUGAUUGGAUCGGGCAGCUCGGCAGUGCAGAGCCAACUCUCUUCUUGAAUUUAUGGAAUUAGAAUGCCUGUCGUGUAGGGCGUGAAUGUUUGUUGUUCUGAAUAUAGCUCAGAACUCAUGUUAGCUGCAUUACUCACGAUGGUGCUACUACUUAAGUUAGCAAUUCAUAUUCUUUGAUGUGUUAUUUCAUCACUGGAAUUUUGUUAUGGAAAGACCUCCGAGCACUUGUUUACGAGCGCUACUACAUGGACAGAAUUUUUACGUCGAGGCGAUGGUAGUGUUGUAAUUUUAUAGCUUAAUGAGAGCCUCAAGGAUUACCCAUUAACAUGUAUUCUUAAUAAUAUAUGAUCAUUUGCCUGA